UACGUAGGGUGCGAGCGUUGUCCGGAUUUAUUGGGCGUAAAGAGCUCGUAGGCGGUUUGUCGCGUCGGCCGUGAAAUCUCCACGCUUAACGUGGAGCGUGCGGUCGAUACGGGCAGACUUGAGUUCGGUAGGGGAGACUGGAAUUCCUGGUGUAGCGGUGAAAUGCGCAGAUAUCAGGAGGAACACCGGUGGCGAAGGCGGGUCUCUGGGCCGCAACUGACACUGAGGGACGAAAGCUAGGGGAGCGAAUGGG
rnacentral:rRNA from 1 species